GAGGAGCCCAGCCCUGGAUUCCCAGGUCCUCACAUUCAGUGAUCAGCACUGAACAUAAUGGACUCCAGGCUAAACUUAGUUUUUCUUCUCUUUAUUUUAAAAGGUGUCCAGUGUGAGGUGAAGCUGGUUGAGUCUGGGGGAGGCUUAGUGCAGCCUGGAAGUUCCCCGAAACUCUCCUGUGCAGCCUCUGGAUUCACUUUCAGUGACUAUGGCAUGCACUGGGUUCGUCAGCCUCCAGAGAAGGGGCUGGAGUGGGUUGCAUAUAUCAGUAGUAGGAGUAGUAACAUCUACUAUGCAGACACUGUGAAGGGCCGAUUCACUAUCUCCAGAGACAAUGCCAAGGACACCCUAUACCUUCAAAUGAGCAAUCUGAAGUCUGAGGACACCGCCAUGUAUUAUUGUGCAAGACACAGUGAGUGA